GGGCCGCUAGCUCAGUUGGUAGAGCAGCAGACUUUUAAUCUGUUGGUCAUCGGUUCGAUUCCGAUGCGGCUCA
rnacentral:tRNA from 1 species